rnacentral:rRNA from 1 species
GACGAACGCUGGCGGCGUGCUUAACACAUGCAAGUCGAACGGAAAGGCCCGGCUUUUGUGGGGUGCUCGAGUGGCGAACGGGUGAGUAACACGUGAGUAACCUGCCCUUGACUUUGGGAUAACUUCAGGAAACUGGGGCUAAUACCGGAUAGGAGCUCCUGCUGCAUGGUGGGGGUUGGAAAGUUUCGGCGGUUGGGGAUGGACUCGCGGCUUAUCAGCUUGUUGGUGGGGUAGUGGCUUACCAAGGCCUUGACGGGUAGCCGGCCUGAGAGGGUGACCGGCCACAUUGGGACUGAGAUACGGCACGGACUCCUACGGGAGGCAGCAGUGGGGAAUAGUGCACAAUGGGCUGAAGCAAGACGCAGCAACGCCGCGUGCGGGAUGGCGGCCUGCGGGUUGUAAACCGCUUUCGCCUGUGACGAAGCGUGAGUGACGGUAAUGGGUAAAGAAGCACCGGCUAACUACGUG